rnacentral:rRNA from 1 species
CCUACGGGAGGCUGCAGUAGGGAAUAUUGCUCAAUGGGGGAAACCCUGAAGCAGCAACGCCGCGUGGAGGAUGAAGGUUUUCGGAUUGUAAACUCCUUUUGUUAGAGAAGAUAAUGACGGUAUCUAACGAAUAAGCACCGGCUCACUCCGUGCCAUCAGCCGCGGUACUACGGAGGGUGCAAGCGUUACUCGGAAUCACUGGGCGUAAAGAGCACGUAGGCGGGAUAGCAAGUCAGAAGUGAAAUCCUAGGGCUUAACCAUAGAACUGCAUUUGAAACUGUUAUUCUAGAGUAUGGGAGGGGUAGGUGGAAUUCGUGGUGUAGGGGUAAAAUCCGUAGAGAUCAAGAGGAAUACUCAUUGCGAAGGCGACCUGCUAGAACAUAACUGACGCUGAUGCGCGAAAGCGUGGGGAGCAAACAGGAUUAGAUACCCGAGUAGUC